CCUACGGGUGGCAGCAGUGAGGAAUAUUGGUCAAUGGGCGCGAGCCUGAACCAGCCAAGUAGCGUGAAGGAUGACUGCCCUACGGGUUGUACACUUCUUUUAUCAAGGAAUAAAGUGAGGCACGUGUGCCUUUUUGUAUGUACUUUAUGAAUAAGGAUCGGCUAACUCCGUGCCAGCAGCCGCGGUAAUACGGAGGAUCCGAGCGUUAUCCGGAGUUAUUGGGUUUAAAGGGAGCGUAGAUGGGUUGUUAAGUUAGUUGUGAAAGUUUGCGGCUCAACCGUAAAAUUGCAAUUGAGACUGGCAGUCUUGAGGACAGUUGAGGUAUGCGGAAUGCGUGGUGUAGCGGUGAAAUGCUUAGAUAGCACGAAGAACGCCGAUUGCGAAGGCAGCUUACUAAACUGCCACUGACAUUGAUGCGCGAAAGUGUGGGUAUCAAACAGGAGUAGAUACCCCAGUAGUC
rnacentral:rRNA from 1 species